CCAAUUAUCGAGCUAGCUACAGCACUGCAUAAAACAAAGAUAUAUGUAUAUAAGGUAACAUACUGUAGAUUUGACCACUUGAAUCCCUGGAUUAGGGAAUCUGACACAAAAUUUCGAUUAAUGUGAAAUCCUGCCCCCCUCAUAUGCCCUGCCUUGAUGCCUACUGUAUACAGGUGCAUAUGAUAUUGGACAAUUUAACUUGUCAAGAUACUGUCAUA